rnacentral:rRNA from 1 species
GUAGGUGGGCAAGCGUUGUCCGGAAUUAUUGGGCGUAAAGCGCGCGCAGGGCGGUUCUUUAAGUCUGAUGUGAAAGCCCACGGCUCAACCGUGGAGGGUCAUUGGAAACUGGGGAACUUGAGUACAGAAGAGGAAAGCGGAAUUCCACGUGUAGCGGUGAAAUGCGUAGAGAUGUGGAGGAACACCAGUGGCGAAGGCGGCUUUCUGGUCUGUAACUGACGCUGAGGCGCGAAAGCGUGGGGAGCAAACAGGAUUAGAUACCCUGGUAGUCCACGCCGUAAACGAUGAGUGCUAAGUGUUAGGGGGUUUCCGCCCCUUAGUGCUGCAGCUAACGCAUUAAGCACUCCGCCUGGGGAGUACGGCCGCAAGGCUG